GUCUGCUUCAGCGGCACACAUACUAAAAUUGGAACCAUACCGAGAAGAUUAGCAUGGCCCCUGCACAAAGAUGACUGGCAAAUUUGUGAAGCAUUCCAUUUAAAA